rnacentral:lncRNA from 10 species
GGGCGGACAAAAGAGAGACAAUUAAACCAACACGGAAACAAGAUAUUUCGAUUGUCAUAAAUGCUACAAGGGAAGAAAACCGAGAGUGCUGAGAGACUGAGCACUUCCGGACAGCCUCUCCAGGAGUCCAGCUGGAGCCAAGACCCAGAGAAUGAAGAGCAAGAGAGAGUGUUUCAGACAGAGGUCCGAGGGUCAGAGGCUUGAGGUGGAGAAGACACAGCCUUGAGGAUCCCACAGAAGCCAAUGUGGAGACCAGGGCCAGAUCGUUAGGGGAUCGAAGGCCACAGCAGCCACAGAAUAGAGCUGAUUGUCUUGGCAAACAAGUGACUGGGAAGGAAGGACUUUUGAGGAAACUCAGGGCAGAAACCAUUGAUUAGGACAAGUAUUGUUCUAAUCAGAACUAGAUGUCCUGCAGAGAAGUGAGAAGCCAGGAGAGCGUGGAUGAAUCCCCUGCCCUCUCUCCCGCAUCAUUCCUACAAGCCACAUCCCAGGUGAACACAUGACAAGAGAAACCCCAGGUGUGUCUGAGGAACCUGACAGAGAUGAGAGCUGAGCCCCAGCCUCUGCUUAAGCCCAGGAGGAGGUGGAAUCAAGGCCCCAGAGCAGACAUGGCUGUGCAGGCCUCACCUGGGAGCCAUAGGAUGUUCUCUGUGAGCCCGAGGGUGGCAUAAAUGGUGGACAGCCUGCUCUGUGGGCCCAGCUGCAGAACAUCCCUCGGGCUGGCUGUGGCACCCUAAGAGCACAGGGAACUGACAGUCACUUGGAGGCCUUGAGGUUGAGAAAGUGGGUGGAUACAGCUGUGACCAGCCAUAGAAGCCGGGAAUGUUUCAGCAAGUCCUUCACAGAGGUUAGAUCACACCUAGGACCAGGCCUCCAUCUCCAGCUCCCCUCCCCAGCUAUAGAGCAAUGGAAGCCUCUCCAGCUCUUAGAUCCAACCUGGGGAGAUGGAAGGAAAACUCUAGAUUGACUGCAAGUAAGUUUCUCCUACACCCAGGGAGCCUUGCUGGAAACUCAGAACAGCUAUAAGAAAAUACAUUUAUUUUCUUUCAUAACAGGGUAUAUGGGAAAAGAAUCAUGCUCACUACUAAUGAAUGAACAAAUGAGCUGCGGGAAGACUGUGUAUGACAGAUGCUCACCUUUCCUUUCAUCCCUUUUCACCUUAUUCUGAUAAGCCACAAAUGCAGAACUGAAUUCAGAGGAUCUACUGGAUGACACUUGUUUCGUUAUUGGUGACAAUGGACCCAGCACUGCCAAACUCUGUACAGAGAUGCGUGGAUUGGUCUCUGUCCUCAAAAACCUGCAGCCAACCUGAGUGGACAGGACUAACAUGCUGAAACAAGUAGAGGAUGACAGAGAUGCUACAGACUUGACUACUGCACUGCAUAGGUCAGCAGUUGUAUUAGUCUGUUCUCACACUGCUAAUAAAGACAUACUUGAGACUGGGAAAUUUAUAAAGGAAAGAGGUUUAAUGGACUCACAGUUCUACAUGGCUGGGGAGACCUCACAAUCAUGGCGGAAGGCGAAUGAGGAACAAAGUCAUGUCUUACAGGAUGGCAGGCAAGAGAGUGUGUGCAGGGGAACUCUCCUUUAUAAAGCCAUCAGAUCUCAUGAGACUUAUUCACUCUCAAGAGAACAGCUAGGGAAAGACCCACCCCCAUGAUUCAAUUACCUCCCACUGGGUCCCUCCCACAACACGUGGGAAUUAUGGGAGCUACAAUUCAAGAGGAGAUUUGGGUGGGGAUACAGCCAAACCAUAUCAGAGGUGCAGAGAAAAGUGGGACCUACAUGGACUGGAGGGGGAAAAAAAAAAGGAAAUUAUCUUGUGAUUGCAGGGUUUAGGCAGCAGCAUGGCUCAGUUUGGGGAAAUAAUACCUAGAAUUAAAUCAAUUGGUCUUACCCUUGCACCUACUUAUUUAACCAAACUUUGUACGUGCCAGGCAUUCUUCUAAGUGCUUUACAAAUAAUAUUUUAUUCAAUCCUUAAAACAACCUGUGUAGUAGACUAUUAUUAUCCAUGCUUUUUAAAUUGUGGUAAAAUAUACAUCACAUACAAUUUACCAUUGUAACCAUUUUUAGGUUUAUUAUUCAGUGGCAUUAAACACAUUCAGUGUUGUGUGACCAUCAUCACUACCCAUUUCCAGUCUUUUUUACUAUCUCAAACAGAAACUUCAUAUUUAUUAAACAAUAACUGCCCAUCUGUCCUCCCCCUAGACUCUGGCAACCACAAUUGUACUUUCUGUCUCUAUGAAUUUGCCUAUUCUGGGUACCUCACAUAAGUGGAAUCAUAUUUGUCCUUUUGUGACUGGUUUAUUUCACUUAGCAUGAAGGUUCAUCCAUGUUGUAGCAUGUAUCAGAACUUCAUUCUUUUUUCUUCCUUCAGAGUAGAGGAGGGAAAAAUAAUUUGAUUCCUUUUUUAGACUGAGUAAUAUUCGUAUAUGUAUGUAUGUGUGUAAAUAUAUGAUAUAUGUAUGUAUACACAUUUUAUUUAUCCA